CCCCUAGAUGUUCUGGGCCGCACGCGCGCUACACUGAACAGUUCAACAAGUCUUAACCUUGGCCGAUAGGUCUGGGUAAUCUUUGAACGCUGUUCGUGAUUGGGAUAGACCUUUGCAAUUAUGGGUCUUCAACGAGGAAUGCCUAGUAAGCGCAAGUCAUCAGCUUGCGUUGAUUACGUCCCUGCCCUUUGUACACACCGCCCGUCGCUCCUACCGAUUGAAUGGUCCGGUGAAGCGUUUGGACUAUGGUUUUCUGACGGUUCGCCAUUGGAUUACCGUGGGAAAUUCGUUAAACCUUAUCAUUUAGAGGAAGGAGAAGUCGUAACA
rnacentral:rRNA from 1 species